rnacentral:rRNA from 1 species
GAUGAACGCUGGCGGCGUGCCUAAUACAUGCAAGUCGAGCGAACAGACGAGGAGCUUGCUCCUCUGACGUUAGCGGCGGACGGGUGAGUAACACGUGGAUAACCUACCUAUAAGACUGGGAUAACUUCGGGAAACCGGAGCUAAUACCGGAUAAUAUAUUGAACCGCAUGGUUCAAUAGUGAACGACGGUUUUGCUGUCACUUAUAGAUGUAUCCGCGCCGCAUUAGCUAGUUGGUAAGGUAACGGCUUACCAAGGCAACGAUGCGUAGCCGACCUGAGAGGGUGAUCGGCCACACUGGAACUGAGACACGGUCCAGACUCCUACGGGAGGCAGCAGUAGGGAAUCUUCCGCAAUGGGCGAAAGCCUGACGGAGCAACGCCGCGUGAGUGAUGAAGGUCUUCGGAUCGUAAAACUCUGUUAUUAGGGAAGAACAAAUGUGUAAGUAACUAUGCACGUCUUGACGGUACCUAAUCAGAAAGCCACGGCUAACUACGUG